AAGCUAAUAUUUUUCUUAAAAAUGAUGGAUGUUGUUGAUUGUCUGAAAUUGGUCAAUGUCGCUAAAAUUGAGACACAGCUCAUGCUUCCCUCACAGGAAGCAUGUUAUAGUGGUGACAAUGAGGCCUGUAACAUUU
ensembl:snoRNA